rnacentral:rRNA from 1 species
AUUGAACGCUGGCGGCAUGCCUUACACAUGCAAGUCGAACGGUAACGGGCCUUCGGGUGCCGACGAGUGGCGAACGGGUGAGUAAUACAUCGGAACGUGCCCGAUCGUGGGGGAUAACGAGGCGAAAGCUUUGCUAAUACCGCAUACGAUCUACGGAUGAAAGCAGGGGACCGCAAGGCCUUGCGCGGACGGAGCGGCCGAUGGCAGAUUAGGUAGUUGGUGGGAUAAAAGCUUACCAAGCCGACGAUCUGUAGCUGGUCUGAGAGGAUGAUCAGCCACACUGGGGCUGAGACACGGCCCAGACUCCUACGGGAGGCAGCAGUGGGGAAUUUUGGACAAUGGGCGCAAGCCUGAUCCAGCCAUGCCGCGUGCAGGAUGAAGGCCUUCGGGUUGUAAACUGCUUUUGUACGGAACGAAAAGCCUUCUUUUAAUACAGGAGGGUCAUGACGGUACCGUAAGAAUAAGCACCGGCUAACUACGUG